GCGGGAGUAAUUCAGUGGUAGAAUGCCAGCUUCCCAGGCUGGAGUCUGUUGACUCUGCUCACCUGCU
rnacentral:tRNA from 1 species